rnacentral:rRNA from 1 species
CCUACGGGCGGCAGCAGUGGGGAAUAUUGCACAAUGGGCGCAAGCCUGAUGCAGCCAUGCCGCGUGUGUGAAGAAGGCCUUCGGGUUGUAAAGCACUUUCAGCGGGGAGGAAGGCGGUGAGGUUAAUAACCUCAUCGAUUGACGUUACCCGCAGAAGAAGCACCGGCUAACUCCGUGCCAGCAGCCGCGGUAAUACGGAGGGUGCAAGCGUUAAUCGGAAUUACUGGGCGUAAAGCGCACGCAGGCGGUCUGUCAAGUCGGAUGUGAAAUCCCCGGGCUCAACCUGGGAACUGCAUUCGAAACUGGCAGGCUAGAGUCUUGUAGAGGGGGGUAGAAUUCCAGGUGUAGCGGUGAAAUGCGUAGAGAUCUGGAGGAAUACCGGUGGCGAAGGCGGCCCCCUCGACAAAGACUGACGCUCAGGUGCGAAAGCGUGGGGAGCAAACAGGAUUAGAUACCCUUGUAGUC